CGUUAGGUUACUAUUUGUCGUUGUGGGUAUUUUCAAUAUAAUAUCAUUAUCAUCGUUAGCCGAGCCGUGCAUGUAUUCGUUUUGUGCUGUACACAGUAGUUUAGAUAAUUAAUACGUAGCUCCACUAUGCCUCUCGUCACAGUGCGUCAGUCAAAUAUUAUCCGCGUCAAAUAUUUGGGACCAGCAAGAACGCACGCUUUUUUAGGAAAUAGAGUCAUAGAUCCAAUGUGUGCUUCUGAGAUGCAGUUGCUAGUUGGGAUGCUAAAUCGCAAAUAUACUCUACACUUACAUAUAUGGACAUGAACCAUGAAACCAAGAUUUAGACUGGCAAUACUGAAUCUUGCUCAAUAUAGAAUGGAACCCGGCCAUAUAAAUAAUUAUAAUAGAAUGGCAUGAUGUAAGCCUAUGAGAGUAUCAAAGAUGAGCAUUGAUUGUCAAGAACAACCGCUCAUUUACUAACUUUACUAGUUUGGGAGAAACAGAAGCACCUUCUUCAAGACAUCCAUAUUAUUAUGCUGUGAAUAAUGUGGCGCUUUAGCUUGAGAAGGUCCCAAAAAGUAAAGGCUGGGUGCAAUCACGGGAGCUACAUCCUUGAGUCUUAAUCCGUUUUGAUUGGAUAAAAAAAAACAAUAUAUUCAGCAACUGUUGAGCCAACACAAUUGGAAAAUGACAUUUCAACACUGAAAAUAAACAUUUUCAAAAAGUUGUCGGACAUCAUCCGGUCAAGUCCAUGCACAUAGUUGGUUAGGUUUCAGUUUUCUGUUCAGCCAUUUUCUGCUGUUGUUGCUUGUUGUUGGUGCUUCAUGCCCUAAAUUUCUGUAAGGGAGUUUGUAUGAACCUAUUUAUAUAAAAAUAAAUCCCUAUUUCACUUGGUCAAGGCAUCACGCGUGAACGGGUGGACCAAUUUCGCUAAUUCUUUUUUUGUUGUGUUUGUUAUCGUCAGGAGAAGGUUCUUAUGUAAGAAAAAAUUAAGACUAAUAAAAAUUAUAGAUAUAGGUGAAACUAAGUUCGACAGGGCAUCUAGUAUAAUAAAUAAUGAAUAUAAUAAAGGCAAAGAAAUAAUAAAUCAAAUAUUAGUGACAGCACCUUCUUGAAUAAACUAAUUGAAUAUUUGUCUGUUUUUGCAUUGGGAAAUUUGGGGAUGGUGAUGGAAUGGUUAUAAAAUAACAGAGUUAGUCUUGUUUUGAUAAUAUUUAUUUCAGAUAGUGUUGCUUGGA